rfam:Neotoma lepida isolate 417 scaffold_39810, whole genome shotgun sequence.
CAGGGUUUAACUCAAUGGUAGAGUGUAUGUUUAACAUAUAUGAGGCCCCGAGUUCAAUUCUCAGCACUGA